UACAGAGACUGCAAGCGUUUAUUCGGAUUCACUGGGCGUAAAGGGUGCGCAGGUGGCCAAGUGUGUUAGGCGUGAAAGCCCGGGGCUUAACCCCGGAAUUGCACCUAAAACUACUUGGCUAGAGCAUUGGAGAGGGGAGCAGGAUUCAUGGUGUAGCAGUGAAAUGCGUAGAUAUCAUGAGGAAUACCAGAGGCGAAGGCGGCUCCCUGGACAAUUGCUGACACUCAGGCACGAAAGCGUGGGGAGCAAAAGGG
rnacentral:rRNA from 1 species